CGGGGUGAGUAACGCGUGGGCAACCUGCCUUAUACAGGGGAUAACAGCUGGAAACAGCUGCUAAUACCGCAUAAGCGCACAGUGCUGCAUGGUACAGUGUGAAAAACUGAGGUGGUAUAAGAUGGGCCCGCGUCUGAUUAGCUGGUUGGGAGGGUAACGGCCUACCAAGGCGACGAUCAGUAGCCGGCCUGAGAGGGCGGACGGCCACAUUGGGACUGAGACACGGCCCAGACUCCUACGGAAGGCAGCAG
rnacentral:rRNA from 1 species